AGGACGAACGCUGGCGGCGUGCUUAACACAUGCAAGUCGAGCGGUAAGGCCUUUCGGGGUACACGAGCGGCGAACGGGUGAGUAACACGUGGGUGAUCUGCCCUGCACUUCGGGAUAAGCCUGGGAAACUGGGUCUAAUACCGGAUAUGACCUCAGGUUGCAUGACUUGGGGUGGAAAGAUUUAUCGGUGCAGGAUGGGCCCGCGGCCUAUCAGCUUGUUGGUGGGGUAAUGGCCUACAAGGCGACGACGGGUAGCCGACCUGAGAGGGUGACCGGCCACACGUGGGACUGAGACACGGCCCAGACUCCGUACGGGAGGCAGCAGGUGGGGAAUAUUGCACAAUGGGCGAAGCCUGAUGCAGCGACGCCGCGGUGAGGAUGACGGUCCGUUCGGGUUCGUAAACCUUCCGUUUCGACG
rnacentral:rRNA from 1 species